rnacentral:rRNA from 1 species
GACGAACGCUGGCGGCGUGCUUAACACAUGCAAGUCGAACGAAGUGGCGAACGGGUGAGUAACGCGUAAUCAACCUGCACUUCAGAGGGGGACAACAGUUGGAAACGACUGCUAAUACCGCAUACUGAAGGAGGGGAUUGCGUCUGAUUAGCUAGUUGGAGGGGUAACGGCCCACCAAGGCGAUGUUCAGUAGCCGGUCUGGGAGGAUGAACGGCGACAUUGGGACUGAGAAACGGCCCAUACUCCUACGGGAGGCAGCAGUUGGGAAUCUUGCGCAAUGGACGAAAGUCUGACGGUGCAACGCCGCGUGAGUGAUGACGGCCUUCGGGUUGUAAAGCUCUGUUAAUCGGGACGCGGUACCGGAAUAGAAAGCAACGGCUAACUACGUGCCAGCAGCCGCGGUAAUUC